CCACUGGCACCGAGGCGGGCUCUCUAACUUGACUGCUAAGCUCUCUCACAUGAGUCAAAUACCCCUGACAUCCCCUCCUGAGCAACCUACGAGCCUGAAGAGCUGAUAUCAGACCUCUAGGUGUACCCCUCCUGUCUCCUCUGAAGACAACCUCAGACCUAUCCUGACCUCUGAACCUGACUACCUUGUCCCUGCAGUCCAAGGUAGCACCAUGGGUAGAUAACCAGUCCAUCCCUAGAAUGACGUCAAAAU
rnacentral:lncRNA from 1 species